AGGGCUUCAAAAUAUCAAACAUGCUGAGGAUGCUUUGGAGGCCAAACUGAGGGACAAGAAGCUCAGUGAAAUACAUUUGAAAUGGGAAGGUGACACUGCUGAUUCUCAAAACGAUAGCCGAGUGCUGGGCAACCUGCAGCCCAAUACAAACCUAAAGGUACUGGCUAUAAAGGGAUACGGAGGUAUAAAGUUUCCAGGUUGGUUAGGAGAUGAGUCUUUCUCUAAUCUCAUCACUCUCCGACUUGAGAAUUGUGGAUAUUGUUUCUCCCUGCCAGCAUUGGGGCGGCUAACGUCCCUCAAAAGGCUUGAAAUUGAUGGGUUGAAUGGAGUGGAAUUAGUGGGGUCUGAGUUUUAUGGGCCUGCAUUUAAAUCUCUGGAGUUUCUGAGUUUCCGCAGUAUGCGGGAAUGGCAAGAGUGGUGUUUCCCUGGAGGUGAAGAAGAAGAAGGCGGACAUUUUCCUAAUCUUUGCGAGCUUAGUCUGGAGAACUGUCCCAAACUAACGGGGAAAUUACCGUUAUACUACUUCCCAAGACUUGAGCGGCUAAUUUUGCAGAAAGUUAAUAUCGAAUCCCUUGCUUGUUCGCAAGAAUGCAAUAAAUUCAAUAUUGAACUCCCAUCCCUCCGUGACUUGGGAAUAUCAGAUUGCCCGAAUCUGGUAUGUUUUGUGGGUGGUGGAGUGCUGCUUGCGCCCAACUUGAAGAGGAUAUCUAUGUGCCGUUUUAAAAACUUGUGGUCAGUGCCAGAGGAGAUGCACGCCUCUCUCCCGUCUCUUCAGUCUCUGUCCAUGGAAGAGUGUGAAGAAUUUAAAUCAUUUCCUGAAGAAUCUAAAUUCCCAUCCCUCUAUUAUUUGAAGAUAAAGGAGUGCCCAGAAUUUGUGGGUUUCCCCCAUGGAGGACUGCAAGCGCCCAACUUGAAGAUGAUGAAAAUCUAUGAAUGUAACAAAUUCGGGUCAGUGCCAGAGGAGAUGCACGCCUCUCUCCCGUCUCUUCAGUCUCUGUUCAUAGAAGGGUGUAAAGAAUUUAAAUCAUUUCUGGAAGAAUCUAAAUUCCCAUCGCUUGAUGAUUUGAGGAUAUACAAAUGCCCAGAAUUUGUGGGUUUCCUCUAUGGAGGAGGACUGCAAGCGCCCAACUUGAAGAGGAUGGAAAUCAAAGAAUGCAAUGAAUUCAGGUCACUGCCAGAGGAGAUGCACGCCUCUCUCCCGUCUCUUCAGUCUCUGUCCAUACUAGGGAGUAAAGAAUUUAAAUCAUUUCCGGAAGAAUCUAAAUUCCCAUCCCUCAAUAAUUUGUAUAUAAUGAAUUGCCCAGAAUUCAGGUCACUACCAGAGGAGAUGCACGCCUCUCUCCCAUCUCUUCAGUCUCUGUCCAUAGAAGGGUGUAAAGAAUUUAAAUUCCCAUCCCUUAAUCAUUUGUGUAUAAUGAAUUGCCCAGAAUUCAGGUCACUGCCAGAGGAGAUGCACGCCUGUCUGUCUCCCUUCUCUUCAGUCUCUGUACAUACAAGGGAGUAAAGAAUUUAAAUCAUUUCCGGAAGAAUCUAAAUUCCCAUCUCUCUCGUAUUUGAAUAUAUGGUAUUGUCCAGAAUUGGAAUCAUUUCCGGAAGGGGGAUUGCCGUCCAAAUUGCUUUCACUCAGAAUCGGGAGUUGUAAAAAACUGAUGGCAAACCGUAUGCGGUGGGGUCUACAAACACUCACCUCUCUCGAAAGAUUGGAUGUCAGCUUCUCAGAAUGUGAAGAAGAAGAAAUUGGCGAAUCAUUUCCAGAAGAGGGGCAGCUGCCAACCACUCUCACUUCUCUCGGAAUCUUCCAGCAUCCGAAUCUGAAAACAAUUGACGGCAAGGCGUUAAGACACCUCAUCUCUCUCAAGGAGUUGAACAUUUUUUUUUGUCCUCGACUCCAGAGCUUGCCAGAUGAAGGGCUACCCACUUCUCUUUCUGGUCUAGAAAUCCGCGAGUGUGAUUUGCUAACACAACGGUGCCGGAGAGACACGGGAGAAGAUUGGGCCAAGAUUUCUCACAUCCCCAAGGUAGUGAUUGAUAACCGAAAGAUAUGAUUUGCAAUGGUACGUAAUUCAUCAACGUGUGUUUAUGUGUUUAUUUACGAUAUGGCUGUGUAAAUUUUAAAUCAUAAACAUGUUUCAAAUGUUAAUGUUCACAUAAUAACAAAUUUUACAGGUACUCUUGUCCCAUAUAAACUUGAAAGUAUUUGCGAUAGAAAGAUACGGAGCUACAAAAAUUCCAAAUCGGUUAGGAGAUGACUUGUUCGUUCUCUCAUCUUGUUACUCUUCGACUUGUGGAUUGUGAACAUUGUUUUUCAAUGCCAGCAUUGGCACAGCUACCAUCUCUCAGAAGGCUUGACACUGAUGGGUUAAAUGGAGUGGAAUUGUUCCUCUUUUCUUAUUGUGUCUUACGGUGGUUCUAUUAUACGACAGUUUGUUGUAUCGAACUAGUCUUCGGUGAAAAAGGAGCUUCAACAAGUCUAUGAGCUCUAGUUUUCGAAUUUCCUUUUUCAAGUUUGUUUCCAAAUUAUGUCUAUUGAGAGGUAGAUUUUGGUACUUUGUAGAAUUCGAAUUCAAAUGUUUGGUUUGUAAAAUAUGGAUGAUGAUUUCAUUUCUGUGGAACUGUGAAUCUAUGAUCAUGCUUGAAUGUUGUCAGACCAUUAUCUAUUCUAAAAUUGAGGAGGGAUUUGACUGUAGCUUAGCUACAGUCAAAUGAUUGACCCUCGAUUUUGCUUUAUUUACAUCACUACCAUUAUAUCUCUGGCUGGGUUGGAAGGGUAAUUAUUACAACUUAGAAGGGUAAUUUUGUCCGUGGGUUUGAACCGAAUUUCACUUUUAUUUACAAAAUUGCCACCGCCUUUUCCUUCCCUCUUUCUCUCUCCCGACUCUCUCUCGGUAACCAUCCAUCAAAUCCCCAUCCUUCCCUUUUCUCACUCUGUAAGUCUCAUUUCCUACAACCCUAGAGCACCGUUUCUCUCUCAUUUCUCUCAAAUUUGACUCAGGGAGAGAGAGGGAAGGGGGACAGAAGGGUUGACAGGUUGGAGGGAGAGGAUCGUCGGGAUUAGGGGAGAGGAUUUUCGGCAGGGAGGUAUGGGUUUAGGGAGAGAGAGAGUAAGGGAGAAGUAUGGGGUAGGCGGAUUUCCAGGGAUUUCUUUUCACCCCUUCACUCACCACGAACCCACCUUUCCCUUCUUUUCUUCCGUCCUCAAAUCUUCUGAUUUCCCUCUCACAAAAUACCCACCAAGGAAACCCUACUUUUGGUUUAUUUUGGGAUUUUGUUUGCGCUCUCGAUUUUCAGACGACGGGCCAAUUGGUUGAUAUUUGGAUUUCUUCUCCUUUUGUCGAAACGCACAAAUUUUGUUUCGGUGGGAUUGGUCUCGAAUAGCUGCGUGUGUCUACCUUUCCAAGGUAUGGUGUUCACCGAUGGCAUGUUUUAGUGUGUUUCUGUUUUUUUUUUCUUUGUUUUGUAUUUCUAAUUUAUCGUUUGCUGCUUGACAAUGGUGAUUGUAUGUUUUAGUUUGGAUGUUUUUCUGAUUUUGGUUUGGUCAGUUUUUUUGGGCUGCUUGAGAAAAUGUGAUCCCAUGUUUUGACUGAGUGAAAUAAUUAAUAGAUAAAAAGAGUGGAGAAUUAGUGUCAAGAGUAGUGAUGGAAAAAAUGAGGAAAAAAAUAUAGAUGUGGAAGAAAAAGGGGGGGGGGCUGGAAAUCGAGCAAGGUGAAGAGAAAAAAAAUAGGGGUUAAGUGAGCAGCCAAAAGAGAAAAAAAAUGAGGGGAAAAGGCUUAAUUUGGGGAGUGGGCAAAAGAGAAAAGCAAGGGAAGGGAGACAGAACAGGAACAAGGUGUGGUUUUGUUGUUGGUUUUAUCCAAAUUUUUGAUUUGGCAUUGGUUUGAAGCUUAUGUGUUAUUAGUAUAGUCUAAUUUAGUGUUGGUUUAUCUAGGUUUGUAGCUAAUUUAAUGUUAAUGUUGAUCUAGGCGUUUUAAUUUGUUGUGAACUUAUAUGAGUUUCGUUUUUUAAUUGUUAUUUUACAGUUGCUAGGGAUGACUUUGGCUUUUAUAUUGGUUUGGGUAUUUUUUUUUUUCAUUUGAAGAUUUAGUGUCAUUAUACACCUUUGCACCACUGUUUGUUCUGUUUUUCUCGGUUUCUGUAUAUAGUUUUGGUACAAUUGGACUGUUCUUUUUAACUUAAUUAAAGUUUUUGAGACUUAAUUGAAUGAAAGUUUAGUGUGUGUUUUGGACUAAUGGUUUUGUGUUGUUAUGUGGGUUUGUGAAGAUGGAUGGAUGUGUGGCUCGGUUGCAGGAGCUGCAGUACACAGUUUCGGGCGGUACGAAGGUGAUCUCAGGAGUGAGUCUCAGCCCUGGGAGUUCUAGAGGUUAUCUCAGGGCUAGCCUCCGAUGCAAACAAGAAACUGCAAGGUAAUUGAGAAUCUGAUUUUAAUUUGAUUUGUACAAACCAGGAACAAAAAAUCCCAGCUUUUGCUUGAAUUUGAAGUUUUUGAUUUUGAUAUUGGAACUGAAAUGGGUCUUUUGAUUUAUGCAGGAUUAAAGGCUCAGCCCCUAGAAAAUCUCCUGUUGGCAAGUUUCCAGCAAAGGCAGGAGGUAUCUCCCUCUCUCUCUCUCUCUCCCUAAAAUCAUAGACGUAUGGCCAAAUGUGUUUUUUGACAAGAAAGUUUAUCCUUCACUUUUUUUCAAAGAACAAAAUUGAGUUUAGAUUCAAAAUCUGAACCUUUUGUUUUUGAAAAUACGACAUUCUAAACAACAGAAGCUCAUUACUUUUUGUUUUUUAAUAAAGCCAUUACCAGUUUCUGAAUUGAUUCUACAUUUUACUCUGUUUUUAUGCCUAAUACCGUUUGUUUUCCAUUGGGUAGCUGUAUAAGUUUUCCAUAAGCUUCGAUCAUCUCCCCAAUAAACCCAGAGCCUCCUUCUCUCCCGCUAAGCAAAAGAAAAUCAAGGAGGCCUGCAACUUCGUUUGCAGUCCGCCACUGCAAAUCAGUCUGGAAACUGGAUUCAAAGGUAAAACACACCGAUGUCUUUGAUUUUGGUCUCUACUGCACAGUUUGACAGACAAAUGAUAAACCUAACACAUGCAUGCUUUGAUUUCCUUGGUAGGUCAUAUUUUUCACUUUCUGGAUGUGCAAAGUCUGGAUAGUACACAUCACCGGACCAAACCUUUAUCAGGUAAGGAAUUCCAUCGCGUUUGUUGAAAAUAUUUGCUUCCUUUCCUCUCAUGUAUGUGUAUGUAUGAUUGUAUGUGUGUGAUUUUAGAUUGUAAUGCAUCACAAAUUUGUGGCAUAAAAAUUGACAUUUGUAGACUUACCCUUUGUUUGGUGACUGUGAUAAUUGAGAGAAAGGAAAAUAAAAUUUCGAAGAUUGAUGCUUUUAUGUGAUUUCUUGGCUCUUUUUUUCAUAUGAUUUUCAUUGUAUGUGUGCCAGUGUAUGUCUCUUCUUGAAAAAUACAUGUUGAAAAUGGGAGAAAAUUUUGGACAUGACACGUUUAGAAGUGAGGUUUUUCUGAAUGAAGACACUUUUAUGAUUUGUUUGUAAUUUGUUUUGCAAAUGGGUAGGAAUGUCAUUCUAAAAGGAUAUUGGCAGGAGAGGGUGGAAUGUCAUUCUAAAAUAUGUGUAAUUCAAUUCUCUCAUUUUCUAUAGCAGAAUUGCGGAUUUCUAAAUCGAAAAGGAGAAAUAAACACUACAGCAGUUUAUGCAGAAGGAGCAUGUAAAAGAGAAGCACAGGUAAAGGUUUAUGAGGUCAGUUUGCUGUUUUCUUUUUAGUGUUUUCAAUUUGUUCCUUUUAGUCUGGCUGCAAUUUUUUAAUCUCUGGUUAUGCAUCAAUUUCUCUGCUUCUUUGUAAAUCUUGCAGGUGAGGACAACACACUUAUCGGGGCAAUGUCGGGAUGUUUAGGCUUGGGUGGAGACAUGGACUUAUGGAAGAGGUGAAGUAGCUUAGGUUUCUGUCAUUAGCUUUAUCUGUUCUAUGCAUCUCUGCAAUCUUACAAUGCUCCUUUAUUUAAUUGCAAGAUGUUGGGGACCGGUUACUGGAAUACAAGAUUUGGAACAAAAGUGGUUGACAAUGCAAGAGUCGAAAGCAAGUGUGAAAUUCACAUUGAAAAUGACAGGUGAGAAUGCUAAUCAUAUUCUAAAAAAAUGUUGGGUUUCCUGAUGAGUUCUCUAGCUGAAUUCAAGAGGCUAAAUUAGUGAUUUGGAGUUAAUUUUGUAAAUUUAUUGAAUAAAGUUAUUUGUUAUUUAGCUUAUCUUGCGUUUGGUUUGGUUUUAGGAGAGGGUUACGCAUGAUCCGUAGCUUCAUUCAACCUCGCUGUUUUCGUUAGAAUCACAAUUAAAGGUCAGUUUUUCCAACAUUUUUUUUGCUUUUUGCUGCAUGUUUGUGCAUGUUUGGUCUCUGAGAUUUUGUUUUUAGUCACUGUUGAUUUGUAGUUUAUGUCUUCCUUUAGCUACAUAUUGACACAUGUUUAUUCUCAGCAUUUUUUUGUUAUGGUAAGUGGUUUGGGGAGUUCUGUAUUAUUAUAUAAUCUUUGGGGCUAUUUUAAGUAAAAAUGAAAUGUUGACAUUGAUAUAGCAUACGGCACACUUAAUUCACACUCCUAUAUUCGGUUUUCAUGUUUCCAUUGCAACACUCUGCAUUUCCGAGCCAAUGAAUUUUUUGAUAAAGAUGUACUUAAAGCAAUUACAUGCUCUAUCAAGUAUGUUUUAUAUGUGGUUGUGGUAGUUGCAAGGAAAUGAAAUAUUUGUGCUGAUAAUUGGUAGUUUAAAUAUAUAGAAAUAGAGAAGAAUUAUAAAUGGAGCACCUAGGAUAUUUAACAUUGUUUUCUUUUCCAUGUAUUUUUUCUCAUGUUUAAUAUCUGCUUUUGCUUAUGCAUAUGAUUCAAGUGCUAUUUUUAUUAGUGUUAAUUUUGGGUUGCAUAUCAACAAACUAACCCAGUUAAUUUUGCUUAGUGUUCAUGUAUAACGAGAACUCUCAUUGCAUCAACUUGAACAAACAUUCUUCUACUUAGUUGCUUAGCUGCUGCAACAAGAACGAAACACUUUUUAUGUGUUUUUGUUUAACUGCUAAAACAGGUGAUUGGCCUCCAGGACAUAUAUUUUGCCAUCUUAACUUUAAAGGCAAUACAUAUGUAAAAUGCAUGUUGCUUAGGGAAACAGAGCAUUUUUUGCAACCACAUCUUUUGUAAUCAGCUUAGUUGAAUGUAUAUAAAAGUUAAGCUACUUAUCUUACCUACACCGAUCACUCAUCUAUCAUUUUUGUUCGUUCAUGAUUAUGUUGAAUUUUUUUUCAGGUUAAAUGUGUCUUAUUCAUGUAGUUAAGGAUGGUGCAUUCAAGUCCCGCAGCAACGCGCGGGCAUUUUUCUAGUAGUAUCGAAAACCCUCUGUUGUUUACCAAUCGAUCUCAAGCGGUCUAGAUUCGAUUUGUUUAAUUAGUACUGCAAGAUGAUCUUAUCUACUAAUCAUGUCUUAUCAAAUGAUUACCAUUUCAUCAUGCCCUUAGGGAUGCAUAGAGCUUCAAAAGUUUUCAAGUUGCUGCGCAUGUGUAGGUUUGAAGUCGUGCAAUGAUAUGUACGCGAAACUUAUGAGCAAACAAAAGCAAACAACUCUUAUACAUAAAUGUCGGCUGCCAGAAAAUCUCAGUAGUACCAGAGAAGAUAAGCUUGUAAUAAAUUUCUAAUUCUCAAAACAGAGCAAACAAGAGAAACAAGAUCUACAUAUAAGUACCCCUAGUUGGCCGGCACACAGGAUUUCUUUUACGAGCAUGUUCUUCAUUAUGGUGCUGUGUCCGACAUGCAUAUCCAUACCAGCAAUUUUCCCUGUUUGAUGCCUCUGUGGGUAGAUGAUAUUUGGGAAUCGAAAUCCGAAACCAGUACAAGAGGAAGGAGAUCAGCUUCUCAUAACAGUAAUUGCACGUAGGUGUCCCAGAAGUUAUUGCCUCAGCAUGAUUCAGGGGCAUCCUCGUUCGAUCAAUUUCUCUGUUGUUCAACUUUGCAAGCCAUUCUGCAAUAACAUCCUGUGAUGUUCUCCCCAACUGUACAGUACACUUCUCAGUGAUCACUUGUUCAUGUCGAUUGUUUUCAUGAGUUGAAGUAGGGAUUCCAGAGAUGGUCCAUUCUGAGAUUGGUUUAAAAGUCUCGCGACUGCACACAUGGUGAGAAUCACUUUGUGAAACCCCUUGCGCAUGCCAAUAUAAACUGCAAAAUGCCUUAUCACAUCCUAAACAGUGUUGAGGUACACUUAUUGGUGCACGAAGGCAUCAUUCCUCCGCAUGCUUGACAUUGCAGAUGGAUAGUGGUUUGAUUGCAGCGGAACGCACCAUAUUCAGUACCACAUUGAGGGCAUGGAUUUGAUGGAUUAUGAGCUUCUUCAUCCACCUGGGAGCGAGCCCUUUUUCUGCGAAGAUGUUUUCCAGAGUUUACGACAAUAUUAGAUUGUAUUGUUGCAUAAGAGUCUAAAAUUGCCACUUCAUCAUUGGUGCGUUUUAGUGAAUAGAAGAGAACAAGAUCUCUGAGCAAACUACAAUCUCAUAUGAAAUAAUUUCAACAUCCGGAUAUCUCAAGUCUGAUGGAACGAGCUUGGCCCAGAAUUCUUCACAGGGUUUUGCACCCGAGCUCUCUCCAACUUCUGCCAUCCCUUGAAUAUAUUCACAAAGGACCCAGAAACCAUUAAUUUAGAUCUCAAAGAUAAGUAACCGGCCAUUGUUAUGUUCAUUUAAAAAGAAACAAGUACUUAUAUAUUCAACUAUUUAUGAGCAACAGAGCAAUUUUAAUUUCUAAUUAUCGAACAAAAUCUUUACCGCUAAUUAGAUAAUUCAUCCAAGUACGAAAAGAAAACAGAUUUGCACUCAAACAAGACAGAUUCAUGAAAUAUGCUAUGGUAACGCCCCUAACAUUUCAACACCGAUAAACAUAUCAACUUCAUGUUUCAGACAUCCUACAACUACAUAUAUUAGAUCGUAACAAUUCCAACUAAAUGUAAAAGCUCUUAAAGACCUAGUUUGGGAGUGAGGUGCUUAAAAAAAAAACACCUAUGAAAAAAAGCUGUGAGGGUUUUAGGUGUUUGGUAAACUGAAAAAAAAGGGCUUAUUUUGGAAGCUGCUGUGAGAAUAAGCUGAAAUCAAAGGAAAAAGCUGAAGUUGCUAUUUGCAGCUUUGGAAAACUGGCUUUUUUUCAAAGCACACGGAGCUACAAUGCUCCUUUAAUGAAAAGACCCACUAUCAGACUGAUUUUCUUUCCAAAAGCACUUUUACAAAAAAGUUUACCAAACGCUCUGUUGAUUUAUUUCACAGCCGCUUAUUCUCACAGCACAGCCGCUUAUUCUCACAGCAGUUUUUUUUCAAAGCACAGCAAUACCAAACCACUCAAAGCAUAACGACAUACUAGCAAAAUUCAUGGAAGAUAGUAAGUGCCAAUUAACAAGAGAGUCAAAAAGGCUUGAGGAGAAGGGGUCCCCAGCAGCGGCAUCAUUUCUGGCCGGAAAAGGUUCAUUCUAGUAAUAUAAUUUAUACCACAGAACACAUACAAACAGAUUUAAGGAGACACAAUUGUCAUUCUAAAAGAGACACUUUCUCAAUUCUUGAAUUAAAACCUGGACUCCAAGAUUGCAAAACCACAGAAUGUGGUCCCCUUUACAAAAAUGUAUAUCAUGUUUACUCUAUGUUCAUAGUUUGAACCUUCGUUUAUGCAAUCUCGCUCUUGUUUUUGUUCUCUUGUAUGACCUAAUUUUCACACAAUUCUCACCGGAAAACCAAUAGAAAUAUUUAUGAAAAUUGAUAGGUCUCACUUGGAAAUUGUUUCAAAAACCCUAACAACAAAAAUGAAAAGUUUGCAACUUUGGCCAAUAAACAAUCAAACGUGAAAAGAAUUUGAAACUUAUCUAUUUCUAAACACGUUUAUAACAUCUUAAGAGACGCGCAAUGUUGGUGAUAAAAAAGAUCAUUCACAUGCGGAUAAUAAUGUGAUUAAAUUAAUUGUCAAAUGACUGUUUUUUUUAAACGAUAUUAUCGAUACUAAGGGGGAGAGGUGUGUUUAGCCUCACAAUGGGCUAGCAACAAUGUGAUUCAAUCAGUUGUUUAUUAAAUAUUAUUUUAUCUAUUUUAAACACGUUCAAAAUAUCUUAAGAGGCAUGUAAUGCUGGUUAUAAAAAAAGUAUUUCGCACGAGGAUAAUAAUGUGAUUAAAUUAGUUGUUAAAUGAUUUUUUUUAACAAACGAUAUUAUUUACACUAAUGGAGAGGGGUGGGCUUAGUCUCACAAUGAGCUAGCAAUAAUGUGAUUCAAUCAAUUAUUUAUUAAAUAUUAUUUUCUCUAUUCUUAAUGUAAAUUCUAUAGAGACCGAUUUUAUUAUGUGAAUUCAGCUGGUUUAAUUGGUUUAUGAAGGGUUUCUUCUAGCAUGAUCUAAGAUUAUUCAUUUACUUCAAAUAUUUAACUUUCAUUUUGUCAAUUUACACACAAUAUAUACAUUUAAAAAACGUGUAAGUCGUGUAUAGCACGUCGUGAUUCAAAAAAUAUCCUCUGCACGUGCGUAAGCAUAUGCACGGAGGCUAGUAUAUACUAAAGUGGAAUGAGAAAAACAUUGUUCAUAAGAAACAAUGUUUUGACGUUUUUGCCCUCAUUUUUAGUGUUUCUGUGUUCCUAGUUUUUGUGCUGUUGAAAUCCCCACAUUACCAUAUAGGCAUACGUGUGUACGGAAAAAUGUUUUUCACGCGUGGCAUAAGGAAAUUUUCUCUGCAGCACCGUGUUAUUCCCCUGGGAGUCUGCAGCACCGCUCAACCAAAUUUUCUCUCAUUCCGUACUUCUCCACCUCUUCAAUCGUGCUGCACCGUGAAUCGAAACAAAAAACUGCUCUUCCAAAUCAAUUUCAGUUAACUCAAAUCCCUAAAACCCAAAUUUCUCCAGACCAUUGGAAUCAGUUUGCCUUUGUUGUUGCUAAUCUACAGGUAAAGCUUAAAUUUACAUACAAUUUUUAAUUUUUCUUGAUUGGAAUUUGGAAAGAAUUACAGAAAAUUGGCGAUGUCCACCGAGUCGGAUGCGUGGUGGAGACUCGGAUGCUCGCUUCCCUGACGUCACUACGCAUCGAUAAACGCACAUCAUUUCCGACUACGUCACUUCUUUCUCUCGCCUCCUUUUCAUGGUUAGCUCCUCCUCCGUAUUUACUCAACGCCUAAUUUUGGCCUUUUUUUCUUCCUUCACUGAUUUGUUCUAGAGAUCGCAGAUUGUUGAGUCAGAGAAGAGGUACAUUUCCAUUUGGGGUUUUUUCCCAAUUGAUUGAUGCUGUAUUAAUUUGGAAUUUGCCCAAUUGGGGUUUGAGAUUUUUGGUUUAUAUGGUUGUUUUGAACUUUUGAGAAAACCCUUAUUUGUUUUAUUUUUUAAGAAAAUUAAUGAAAAUGAUUUGAAAUCUUUGAAUUUUAGAAUAAGAACAAAAUAAAGGGUAAAGGGAACAAUAGCAAGAUUGACUUUUUAGUGUAAAAAUGUAAUUUUUCGUUAAAGUGAACAAUAUCGAGUAUUUUUUGUUCUUUAAGAGGGGAAUAAUGAUAUGAUCUGUAAUUAGUGAUUAGCUUAAUCACUUAUUCUUGGGAUUAUUAGGCUUAUUCAUGUUUUAGUGGAGUUUGUUAUAACUGCUAGCUGGCAUGAGGAGUCAUGACUGGUAUAAGAGCACUAGUUCUGAGUAUUGUAAUCAGAUCAGAAUUUACAACAAAGAAAAUAAAUACAAAAAUAUUUGGAGCUCUGCUCCUUCAUCUCUCCUUCCCUCUUCUUCCAUAGCUUUCUUGUGCUACUUGCAGGUUGAUUAAGGGAAUUGAGAAUUGGGUCUUAUCAUAGUGGAUCUUGACGAGCGGGCGGGCGGGCGGGCGAGCGAGCCAAGACUUAGUGGUUUAAGCUGGAGAGGUUUAUUUGGAAGAACCAAAGCCGUUUGAGCCGAUGCUGUAGCAGAUUGAACCGGUUCUACGCAGACCUCGCCAAAUCUCAGCCAUCAGAUUGCUGUCCGGACGAUCGCACACUUUGUCCGCAACUUAGACACGCCCUUGCAGUUAUAGCACCAAGGUGGGCCUGGGAGCAAACGGCUGAGAAGAAUUGAACAGAAAUUGGGCCAAACAGGAGCAAAGCGCUGCGCCAGUUGCUGUGGAAGGGAAUGUUGCUGAUGAUGCUGGACUGGGCCCGCAUAAUUCAAGGGCUGCGCUAGAUGCUCAAGCUGCUCGGCAGAGGGAUGCCAGGUUCCACGACCAACACCGCGUGAAUUAUUGUUAAAAUUUCCAUUUGCAAAGAAAAGAUUGAUCAUGGCGUUGAAGAUUUUUGCUUCUGCAGAUCCUCCUGGGUCUUUGAUUAGUUGUUAUACAUUCUCUUAACUCUGUCACAAAAUUUCCAUUUGCAAAGAAAAGAUUGAUCAUGGCGUUGACGGUGGUAGGUGGGGCCGCUCUCUCGGGUUUCUUCCAGCAAGUAUUUGUGAAGUUGGAUUCUCAGGAGGUCAGGAACUUCAUCAGAGGAAAGAAACUGACUGAUGGGUUGCUCAAGAAGUUGAGGAUCAAGUUGAUGUCUGUCAGUGCUGUUUAUGAUGAUGCCGAGCAAAAGCAAUUACGUAACCCACAUGUGAGGCUGUGGCUGCACGAGCUUAAAGAGGCCGUCCUUGAUGCUGAGGACCUACUGGACGAGAUCAAGACAGAAGCGUUGAGGCGGAAAAUUGAAGCUGAAUUUGGAAGUAGCACAAGCAAGGUACAAGACCUCAUCUCUGCUUCUUUCCAUGCUUUUGAUGAGUCUGUAGACACCAAGAUAGAGGAAAUUCUUGAGAGGCUAAGCUUCAUUGUAGAACAAAGAGAUGCCCUUGAUUUGAAAAGAGGUAGUAGACACAAAAUCUCACAAACAUUGCUUUCAACUUCUUUAGUAGAAGGCUCUGAUGUGUAUGGAAGAGAUCGUGAGAAGGAAACCAUCAUUCAACUAUUGUUAUCAAAUGAUGUCACUUGUAGUAAGAUUGGCAUUAUUCCCAUUGUGGGCAUGGGUGGGAUCGGAAAGACCACCCUUGCUCAGCUCUUAUACAAUGAUGAUAGAGUGCAGCAGCAUUUUGAGCUCCAGGCAUGGGUUUGUGUUUCUGAUGAAUUUGACGUUGUUAAGAUCACACAAACAAUUUAUGCAUCAGUCACUUCACGAACCUGUGAUGACCUAAACCAGCUUCAGGUCAAACUCAAAGAUGCUUUGGCGGGGAAGAAGUUUCUUUUUGUUCUUGAUGACGUUUGGAAUGAGAAUUACAAUAUUUGGGAAUCCUUAAGGCGCCCCUUCGAGUCUGGAGCUCAUGGAAGUAAGAUCAUUGUCACCGCAAGGAAUGGUGGUGUUGCAUCUACGAUGGGUACUCUUCAAACCCACUAUUUAAAGCACUUACUUGAGGAAGACUGUUGGUCUUUAUUUGCAAACCAUGCCUUCAAAGAUGCAAGUGUUAUUGUAGAUCCAAAUCUGGAGGUAAUUGGAAGACAAAUUGUGAGCAAGUGUAAAGGCCUUCCUUUAGCUGCAAAAUCGCUCAGUGGUCUCUUACGCUCUGAAUCAAAUGUGGAGGAAUGGGAAAAUGUGCUCAAAAGUGACAUAUGGGAGUUGUCAGAUGCAAAGAUUGACAUUUUGCCGGCUCUAUGGCUAAGCUACCAGUACUUGUCUCCGGAGCUAAAGCGUUGUUUUGCUUAUUGUUCGACAUUUCCCAAAGAUUAUUUAUUUGACAAGUCUAAAUUAAUUUUGUUGUGGAUGGCCGAAGAUCUUAUACAACCCCAAAAGAAGACUAGGUUGGAAGAUGUUGGAAAGAAAUACUUUGAUGAUCUAAUCUCACGGUCAUUUUUUCAAUACUCGUCUUCAAAUGAUUGUUUCAUCAUGCAUGAUCUGAUGCAUGAUUUGGCGACUUACGUAUCUGGAGAAUUUUGCAUUAGAUUGGAAGACCACAACUUCUCAUUGGACGUUGUGAGCAAGGGUCGUCAUUUUUCUUAUAUGCAAUAUUCAUCUAAUGUUGAUUAUGAGAGAUUUGACACUAUUUAUGAAGCUAAGUAUCUGCGCACCUUCAUUCUUGGCAAUCACUUUCCAUCGCCGAAAGUACGACUUGAUCUCCUUUUAGUGCUACAUUGUUUAAGAGUUCUCAAACUACGUGGGCAUGAUAUCACGGAGUUGCCUGAUUCGAUUAGCAACUUGAAGCAUCUACGGUACCUUGACUUGUGGUUCACUCCAAUCCAGAAAUUACCUGACACCGUAUGCAGUUUGUAUAAUUUACAAACGUUGUUGUUGUCAAAUUGUAUAUAUCUAGCUGAGUUGCCCACCGAUUUGAGAAGACUUAUCAACUUGCGCCAUCUUGAUUUCAGAGGUACAAAAUUAAAAAUGAUGCCCCCCCACAUGGGCAAGUUGAAAGAUCUCCAAACAUUUGAAGGUGAGUUUGUCUUGAGCAAAGAUGCCGGGGGAAACAUUGAUGAGUUAAAGGGGUUUCAGCAUUUGAGUGGAAAUCUUCAUGUGUCAGGGCUUCAAAAUAUCAAACGUGCUGAGGAUGCUUUGGAGGCCAAACUGAGGGACAAGAAGCUUAGUGACAUACGUUUGAAAUGGGAAGGUGACACUAUCGAUUCUGAAAACGAUAGCCGAGUGCUGGGCAACCUGCACCCCAAUACAAACCUAAAAGUACUGGUUAUAGAAGGAUACGGAGGUACAAAGUUUCCAGGUUGGUUAGGAGAUGAGUCUUUCUCUAACCUCGUCACUAUCCGACUUGAGACUUGUGGAUAUUGUUUCUCCUUGCCAGCAUUGGGGCAGUUACCCUCCCUCAAAAGGCUUGAAAUUUAUGGGUUAAAUGGAGUGGAAUCAGUGGGGUCUGAGUUUUAUGGGGGAAUUAAACCUGCAUUUAAAUCUCUAGAGUUUCUGAGUUUCUGCAGUAUGCGGGAAUGGCAAGAGUGGUGUUUCCCUGGAGGUGAAGAAGAAGAAGGCGGACAUUUUCCUAAUCUUUGCGAGCUUAGUCUGGAGAACUGUCCCAAACUAACGGGGAAAAUACCGUUAUACUACUUCCCAAGACUUGAGCGGCGUACGUUUGGAGGAAGUUAAUAUCGAAUCCCUUGCUUGUUCGCAAGAAUGCAAUAAAUUCAAUAUUGAACUCCCAUCCCUCCGUGAGUUGAAAAUAUCAGAUUGCCCGAAUCUGGUAUGUUUUGUGGGUGGUGGAGUGCUGCUUGCGCCCAACUUGGAGGAGAUAACUAUUUGCCAUUUUAAGAACUUGUGGUCAGUGCCCGAAGAUAUGCAAAUCUCGCUCCCAUCUCUUCCGUCUCUGUCCAUACAAGGGUGUAAAGAAUUUAAAUCAUUUCCGGAAGAAUCUAAAUUCCCAUCCCUCGUUGUUUUGAAGAUACAGGGAUGCCCAGAAUUUGUGGGUUUCCCCCAUGGAGGAGGACUGCAAGCGCCCAACUUGAAGGAGAUGGAAAUCAAAGAAUGUAACAAAUUCAGGUCACUGCCAGAGGAGAUGCAAAUCUCUCUCCCAUCUCUCGAGUCUCUGUGUAUAAGGGAUUGUCCAGAAUUGGAAUCAUUUUCGGAAGGGGGAUUGCCGUCUAAAUUGCGUUUUCUCAGUAUCUGGAGUUGUAAAGAACUGAUGGCAAACCGUAUGCGGUGGGGUCUACAAACACUCACCUCUCUCAAAUACUUGGAUGUCAGCUUCAGAGGAUGUGAAGAUGAAGAAAUUGGCGAAUCAUUUCCAGAAGAGGGGCUGCUGCCAACCACUCUCACUUCUCUCGGAAUCUACAAUCAUCCGAAUCUGAAAACCAUUGACGGCAAGGCGUUAAGACACCUCAUCUCUCUCGAGAAGUUGGAGAUUUAUUAUUGUCCUCAACUCCAGAGCUUGCCAGAUGAAGGGCUACCCACUUCUCUUUCUCGUCUAGAUAUCUUCCCAGUGUGAUUGCUAAAACAACGGUGCCAGAGAGACACGGAAGAAGAUUGGGCCAAGAUUUCUACAUUCCCAACAUAACGAUUUCUGGCCGAAAGAUAUGAUUUGCAAUGGUACGUAAUUCGUCAACGUGCGUUUAUGUGUUUAUUUACGAUCUGGCUGUGAAAAAUUUAAAUCAUAAACAUGUUUCAAAUGUUAAUAUUCUCGUAAUAACAAAUUUUACAGGUACUCCAGUCCCAUAUAAACAUGAAAGUAUUUGCGAUAGAAACAUACGGAGCUACAAAAAUUCCAGAUGACUCGUUCAUUCUCUCAUCUUGUUACUCUUCGACAUGUGGAUUGUGAAUAUUGUUUUUCAAUGCCAGCAUUGGCACAGCUACCAUCUCUCAGAAGGCUUGAAACUGAUGGGUUAAAUGGAGUGGAAUUGUUCCUCGUUUCUUACUGUGUCUUACGGUGGUUCUAUUAUACCACAGUUUGUUGAACGAACUAGUCUUCGGUGAAAAACGAGCUUCAACAAGUUUACGAGCCCUAGUUUCCGAAUUUCCUUUUUCAAGUUUGUUUGCCAAAUUAUGUCUAUUGAGAGGUAGAUUUUGGUACUUUGUGGAAUUCGAAUUCAAAUGUUUGGUUUGUAAAAUAUGGAUGAUGAUUUCGUUUCUGUGGAACUGUGAAUCUAUGAUCAUGCUUGAAUGUUGUAAGCCCAGAGUAUCGAAAACCCUCGGUUGUCUACUAAUCGAUCUCAAGCGGCCUAAAUUCGAUUUGUUUAAUUAGUAUUGCAAGAUGAUCUUAUCUACUAAUCAUGUCUUUAUCAAAUGAUUACCACUUCAUCAUGCCCUCAGGGAUGCACAGAGCUUCAAAAGUUUUCAAGUUGCUUCGCAUGUGUAGGUUUGAAGUCGUGCAAUGAUAUGUACGCGAAACUUAUGAGCAAACAAAAGUAAACAACUCCUAUGCAUAAAUGUUGGCUGCCAGAAAAUCUCAGUAGUACCAGAGAAGAUAAGCUUGUAAUAAAUUUCUAAUUCUCAAAACAGAGGAAACAAGAGAAAGAAGAUCUACAUAUAAGUGCCCCUAGUUGGCCGGCACACAUGAUUUCUUUUAUGAGCAUGUUCUUCAUUAUGGUGCUGUGUCCGACAUGCAUAUCCAUACCAGCAAUUUUCCCUGUUUGAUGCCUCUGUGGGUAGAUGAUAUUUGGGAAUCGAAAUCCGAAACCAGUACAAGAGCAAGGAGAUCAGCUUCUCAUAACAGUAAUUGCACGUAGGUGUCCCAGAAGUUAUUGCCUCAGCAUGAUUCUGGGGCAUCCUCGUUCGAUCAAUUUCUCUGUUGUUCAACUUUGCAAGCCAUUCUGCAAUAACAUCCUGCAAUGUUCUUCCCAACAGUGCAAUACAUUUCUCAGUGAUAACUUGUUCAUGUCGAUUGUUUUCAUGUGCGGAAGUAGGGAUUCUAGAGAUGGUCAGUUCUGAGAUUGGUUUAAAAGUCUCGCGAAUGCACACACAGCGAGAAUCACUUUGUGCAACCCCUGCGUGCCAAUAUGUACCACAAAAUGCCUGAUCACAUCCUAAACAGUGUUGAGGUACACUGUUAUUACUUCAUGAGGCGUCAUUCCUUCGCAUGCUUGACAUUGCAGAUGGAUAGUGCUUUGAUUGCAAACCCCACCAUAUUCAGUACCACAUUGAGGGCAUAGAUUUGACGCAGUACCAGCUUCAUCAUCCACCUGAGGGCGAGCCCUUAUUCCUUGAAGAUGUUUUCCAAAGUUUACAAUUCAGAUUAUAUCGUAUUGUCGCAUAAUAGUCUAAAAUUUCCACUUCGUCAUUGGGGCAAAAAAUCCGCUUUUAGUAUUUCCUCCGCAAUGUUGAGCAAGAAGUGAUCAUUUACUACAAUAUCUUCUCAUUGUGUUUUGUUCUAAUAGUUGUCCUAUUUGUUUCUUUUGUCUACCGUACUUUAAACUACCAUCACGAACAUACGAAAUUACUGUCUAUAGAGCUUUUCGGUUUUCUGGUAUCUGUUACAGCUUAAUACUAGAAAAAUUGCCCCCGCUCUGCUGUGGGGUUUCAAACUAUAAUUGACAACAGCCAUGAAUAAUAUUCAUAGAAAAAUUCACUCAAAAGGCAGCAGCAACACAAUCGCAUUCUCAAAUGCAGCAAUUUAGACAACGCACAUUUUACUUGAGUAAUUCCCACAAAAUCACAAAUUAACAGUCAUCUCCAAAUAAUUGAAAAAUCAAGAGAUAGGUGAAUCGAUACGGUAAAAUAAGCAGUUCAAUUUGAUUUUACAUUCUAUUAAGUUAACAUCAAGAGCCAAUAUAUUUAUGGUUAUGGUUUUCAAUCAGUGUUUUAUUGUCUUCUUUUUAAAUUAGUGGUUCUUUUCAAAUACAAAGUUUAGUCUUCUUAGCAAAGUCAUUAUUUUUUAUAGUGGUUGGUUGAAAUAAAGAGGUAGUAUGAAAUUGUGACCAUUAGACAAUAGUAUGGCUGUGAUCUAAUAGUAAAUGACCUUAAUUUCACACAUAAGUUUGGUUUCAAACUUACUACAUAAAAACAAUGUCAACUUGCAAGACACUAUAUGAACUGGCUGGAUAGCUAGUUGAAUAAGCUUGUUCCCCUGUUUUCCCUUUCUUUUGAGUAAUUUCCUCCUUCCCCUCCCUCCCCCCAAACCAUCUUCAUCCCAUUUUGCACUUUCCCAAAAGCCUUUUCUCUAUCCCCGUCUUCACUUUAUCACAUGCUUUUUUAUCCUAGCCAUAAUUAGACUAAUGGGAUUUAUACCUAGAGACUAAUGUGCUUUUUCACAUGCUUUUUUCUCUCAAAAUUUAUAGAAAUAUGAAAAUGAUCAUCACAAAUUUCAAAUCCUGCAAUAACCUAAAUUAAAACAAUUAUUCAAAUUCCUAAAUUAAAACAGCAUUUAGAAGCACUAUAAACUCAAAUCACAAACAUCAACAACAUGGUGAGAAUGAAGCUUUAUCUUAUAGAAAAUGAUAAAUCUUUCUCAACCAAUAUGCUAAAAAUGUCCACCACCAGUAUAUAAUAAAAAAACAGAAGGCUAACUUCAUCACAUAGCACCACCUUUAAACGCAUUUCUUUCAGAAAUUAAAUUAAGAAAAAAUUUGACAUUCACAUGCCACUCAUUAAGAAACUAAUACUAACUGAAGUUGUAUAUUGUAAAAUGCAACCGCUUUUAGAAUUCCUAAGUCAUAUCUGUUAGCAAGAAACCCAUACUAACUCAAGUUGUAUAGUGUAAUAACGCAACUGCAAAAAGACCAAGCUUCUGCUACUAAAAAGCUUUUACAAAAUCAUAAAACUCUUAACAGUUUGAACCCUACCGGAAAGUUUAUAUGAGUUGAAGAACAGUUGUACUUAAGUGCAGCAAGAUCAUAACCUCUUGCAGUUUCUCCUCCAUGUCAAAACCACCUGCAGUCCAAAUUAAGAAAGAUUCAAUGCCAGAUCAAGAACAAAAUAGUAAUAAUUUAAACUAAAAUCCUUAAUUAUUGUUGCAGAGAGAAUUCAUAUCAAGAUUAACUACAAUAUUUAAUUCGAACGGAAUCCAAAAGUAGCAUAAAUAUGAAAGGUAAAAAAUUAAUAGCAAAAGUCACAUUUCAGCAGCGAUUAAUAGCAGAAAUCAAAGUUCAGUGGCAGGGACCAAAUAAACCUCUGGAUUUCAGACUACUUAACAAAUUAGACAAACACAUAAUCCAAUUUCAUCUUUUUCCACUCAUUUUUUUCUUGCAACACUGUUGGGCACCAAACAUCACCAAAACCGAGCUCGCUGACACAUAAAUAAGCUACCGUACACUUUUUGAUGAGGUUGGCAGAGAGCUCAAUUUAGUGGCGCUCGUACCCUUUGAAUACGUCGCUCGUCUUUCCCUAAGUUUCUCUCUGCAUUCAACCCAUCACACAAUUUCAACAAUAAUUCAGUUUGAACGAUCUGAAAUCAAUGGAAUCGGAAGUAAAUACCUAUUUCGAUCGGAGAUUUGAAUGGAUCGCCGGAGACGAUGGCUGAAGAGCAGUGGCGGGUGUUUAUUUUUUGUUCUAGGUGGUGGUGGCGGCGGCUUGCUGUCGAAGCGAUUGAAACGGAUGGAAACAACAAUGUGCGCGAAAGGAAACCUCUCUCUCUACAUGUGACCCUUCCUUUCACCGCCAAAAUAAAGCAUCAAAACACCUUGGUUGCUCCUGUUAGAAGAGCCUUACUUGCUACUGUUCAGUGCCCCCACCCCUCCCUCUUUCUCUCUGCCUCUGCAACCCGCCUCUCUCUUUCUAUUUUUGCCUUACCGAAUGUCAGACCAUCCUCAGUCAAUCAUGUCAGUGGAAUCCUCACAAAAUCCCUCACUCAAUCGGGUCAGUGAUAACCUCCCUCAAUUUCCUCCCUCACCCUCGGCAACACCACCACUCUCCCAAACCUGAGAAUGACCAAAAUACCCACGCAAUUUCCAAUCCGAUGCGUCGGAUUUAGAAAGUAGAUAGGAUAAAAUAGGCAUUUGACGUUCAGGGCUUUAACCCAUUCAAUGGUCACCAUCGAAGCCCACUUCGGGCCCAAAACCAACAGCCCUAAAAGACCCAAAUUAUGGUCAGCGGUAGAGAUGUAAAUAUUCAGCCAAAUCUGAUGGCAUUAUUGUAAGUAACGUGAAAUAGAGGGGCAAAAACUUGACUGUAGCUACAGUCAAAUUCUUCCUCAGUUUUAGAAUAGAUAAUGUUGAGCCUAUGACAGCCAAAAUACAUAGCUUGUUUUCUGUUGAGACGCUUCUCUCAUAUCUGGCCAAUUAAUGAAGAGCAAACUACGACACCAUUAUUCAAAAUUUGACAAAGUGAAGUUUUCCUCUAGGAAUCUUCACCUUUCAAGCUAUAUAUUUUCUGGUUCUCAAUUCUUACAAUUUUCAUUGUUUUGUUGCUAACUUGUUUACUCACCGCUAUUCAAAAUUUGACUCUUUCUUUUGCGCUAAGUUGAUUUGCCCUGAAAUUUGCUAAGAUUGCUCAAACGUAUUUCUUUUACAAUUUUCUCUUGUGUUUGCUUUAAUCGCGUACUGACGUUGGUGAUUGAGAAAAUGACAUUGUUGAUGUCAAUGCUCAACUUUACUGUUUACUUUUUGUAUAGCUAAGUUUAUUGUAGCUCGAGAUACGUUCUUUAUAUGUGAGUAAGUCUUCCACCAAAUCAGAAACUAAAGCGUUUUAUAUACGUUGAAACGUGAUUGGAAGAUGCGUUGUCAUCCAUUCUUUUCGAUUUCCUGUGCUUGAGUUAUAUUAUUUCCUCCAUGAUUUGAAGUCGUUUCCGAAGUAUAUUUAUUGGGAUUUUGAGAUGCGCGUUCUGGUACUUUUUGGAAUAUGACUUGAAACUUUCAGAGCAAGCGCAAACCAGAGUUUACCGUUCUAAUUCCUCUUUUGAUUAUACAGUUAUAUUCUCAAUUGUCAUUACCUCGAGAUUACUUGGUAAUGACGUGAUUACACAGUUAUAUUCUCAACUUGCUAUUACCUCGAGAUUACUCGGUGGUAGUGACAUGAUUACACAUUUAUAUUCUCAGCUUGUCAUCAUCUCGAGAUUACUCGACAAUGACAUAAUUAGAUUUCAGCUUACACUAGUUACGGCUAGUGUAUGAUUUUGUAUGCAUGUAAGAUAGUGUCAGAGACCCAUUAAGUGUGGUCCUUCGGGGAUGCAAUAAAUGUGGUUACUUGCAGGUGUUUUAAUUUGGGCUUAUCCCUAUUUCGGUAGAUUUUAAUAGUUGAAAACUUGAGUUAUGACUUUAUGCAUAUUAUGGAUUCGUCACCAAUCCACGUGAUGGCCAGCUGAUAGGAUUUUUAGUAUUUGCAUAAAGAGGGUUAAAAAUCAUACAAAAUACUUGUAAGAGAACAAGGUAGUUGUAGUAAAAAUGCUCAUGUAAGGUCGUUCCCACAAGGAUUAUCUAAAACAAUUUAUGUAAAAAUAAAAUCUUAGUUAAUUAUUUGAAAACAAAGUUUGAAAAGAGUGGUUUUUCAAUCUAAAUAAUAAAAACGAAUUUAAUAAAAGUAAUUGAGGAAAAUCAACAAGAAAUUAAUUUUAAAGAAAUCAAAUUAAAAAGAAAUGGCCUUGAGAAAUAGAUUUGUAAAAGCAUUAGGGUUCCACUGUCAUCUUAACAACUCUUUGUAGAUUCACUAAUUACUUAUGAAUUACACAUGCAACUUUGAAUGUUAGGUUUUCCUAAUGCAUAUUUAACUUGUGGCAUUCAAGAUAGAACGUAUAUCAAACAUGCAAUCCGUCUAUAGCAUUCAUAUCAAAUAUAAACAUGCAUGACUCAUUAUGUUUUGUGAAAACCCUUUGAAAAAUCAUGCUACCUUUAAGACAUGGCAUUCGCCCUAAUUGACUUACAAUUAUUAAUCAUAAGAAGCAUUCCUCAAUUUCAAGGUGACAUUCCAACAUAAAUUGCGUCUGAUUGCUUAUCUAAACAUUCUAAUGGUAGCAAAGCAUUAAAACAUAGAGACUAUUUAAAUGCAGUGAUUAAUAAUUCAAAGCAUGCAUACAUAAUAUCAUAAGCAAUAAAAUAAAAACCACAUAUUCAUGCUAAGGCUAAUGGCCCCACCCUAGCAAAAGAAAGUUAAUUAUGCAUAUUCAACCAAAAGAGUUUUAUUGAAAUAGAAAAAGAGUGAAAACACCUUGUAGAAUAAAGUUUGAAAAUCUCUUAAACUUUGGCCAAAAUUCUCUCUCAUAUAUCACGUUGAAAAGAAGAACAUAGGGCCGGCCACAAUGGCUUAUUUAUACUACUUAGAAAAUCCAAUCCUUCCUAGAAAAUGACUUAAAAUAAAAUUAGGAGACCAAAUAAAUUGAAAUAAAUUAGAAAACAUAAUCCUAAAUUGACUAGGAUAAUCAGCUCAAAAUCUGCACAACGACGUUUUGGAUCCAAAUCUCCUCCAAAAGUGGCCCAAAAUAGCUGGAUUUAAAGUUUCAAAUAAUCUGAACACUUCUCCAGAAGGUCAUGAACCCAACAGAGGUCAUCUUAGGCUCAUAAAAUCGUAAUUAAGCCAAAAAAGUCACUUUUCAGCAUCACGCAUUGCUUUUUUAUUUCAUCGCUAGAAAAUAACCACUUGGUAGAAAAAAACCAAAAUUUUGACACGAACGAGCUAAAGGACUCACGAACGUCCUCCAAUUUGAAUCAAUUUAAAAUUCACCCGUUUGAUCACGUUUUGCUCCAAAGGAUGUCAAAUGUUUUAUAUUGAAAAUAUAAAGUUAAGUAUCAAAAUUAUACCAAAAUAAUUACCAAAACAUACUAAAAUAGGAUAAAAUAUAUAAUAUGACAGACCAAAAAGCUAUAUGGUAGGUGUGCCUGCUUUGUGACUAAAGUUCGCUCUGCUUUUGACCAAAGGCUCCUCCAUGCCUUGUGAGAUUUCCAAUCAGCUUCCAGCCGCCAUAAUACGGCACUAUUAGUAUUGUAUCAUUAUAUCUAUACGAAAACUUCAGUUGAUGGGACACGGUUUACCAACAGUGAUUUCACGAAAAUACCUUUGGUUUUUCUUCCCUUUCCUGCUUUGCUUUUUAAUCUUAAACAGCGGAUUUACAAAUUUCCCCUUACUAUUUGUUGGCUGGGGGUGCCACUACCUCUUAGAAGAUACCUGUUUGUUCCAUUUGCGUCCAGAAUCUCCCCAGUUCUCUCUAUCACAAACCACGAACCAAAAAAUCCUCUCUCUAAAAAGACCACGAACCCCAGCACAAUCUCUCUCAAAACCUGUUAACCACAACACAAUCCGGUCCCGAUUCGAAGAAAGCUUUAAGCCCAGAAAAAGUUCGGUUUCAUGGUGAGUUCUCCUACCAAUUUGGGGCUUCUUUUUGUUUUUUCUUUUUUUCUGGGUAGCAUGCAGUCUUUUCUGAGUUAAUGGUCGAGGCUUUGUUAUAAAAAAGAGUAGUGGUUGUGGGUCAGUUAGGUACUCAAGAUUCUUGAAUUCUAGAUGUGUUGAAUUUGGUUUUUUUUUUCACUAAUGGUUUUUUUUUCACUAAUGGCUUGCUUCAUAGAAUUAAUACAAAUACAAAAUGGAAAAAUGAUUUUAAUCCAUAAAUAAUAUUCAAAUACUUGAAAAGUUUGUUUUAAAUUGGGUUUGGUUUCAUUGGUUUUUCUGAUUUUGAAACUUUUGUUUUCAGGCUCCAAAGGCUUUUAGGGGCCUGUUUGGUAUGAUAUUAAAAAAAAAUCAUUAUUUCUCAAAACAGUUUUUUAAGAAUAUCUUUUAAAAACAAUUUUCUUUUAAGAUUCAAAAAUUUGUUUAGUAUGAGAUUUAAAAUUAUUUUUAAAUCUUAGAUAAGAUUGCUGAAAUUAAGUAUGGUUCCUUUGCAGGGGAGUUUGUUUUGAUUUUUUGUGGAAGAAUUCCAGUUUCCAGCGCUUCGUAUUCUUCAAUUACAGGUAAAUGAAUGUUGCAUGUGAAAUUUUUUUUCAACAAAUAAAGAAAACCCUUUCGUUGGGUUGGGCGAAGCCAUAUUGCUUCUAUUGGCAUAAAACUAUACAGCUGAAGAUUUUCUGUACUUAAUUAUCAAAGUAUGCGGUGGUUUGAUAAUUAAGUACAGAAAAUCUUCAGCUGAUAUCCUUCUUCUCUUUGCGUGAUAAAAUCAUGUUUUUUGGAUUAUGAUGCUUAUUCUGAUUCUUAUCUGUAAACCAUUGAUGAUAUAACAUUAUAGGCUUGGGGUAGUAGGUUUUGUAGUCUUUUUCCUGAAAUAUAACUGAGUACUUCAUAAUCGUUGCAUUCCUUGGUUUGUGAUUUUGUUGCUCGAGUACCGAGGUUUAUCUUUUGGUGCUCUCUGAUUGGUUCUCACAUUUGAGUCAUCUCACCAAAUCAUUAAUGUAGAUUUCCUCUUGAAAUUUUAGGUAGGUGGCGAUCUCUGCUUGGCUCUAUCAGUUGAUUCACAUAACCUAAUAAUUGAAGUCUUCUUUUCCUUGGGUCGGAAAAAUGGCAAUAAUUCUACUUGAGUUGAUAUUUCUUAAAGAAAAACUAAUGAAAAAAAAAUCAAAUCUUUACAUUUUAAUAAAAAAUCAUCUACUAACUUUAUUUAAUGAUAAAGACAAAAGAAUUAAAAAAAAACAUAAAAAACCCAACUUGCGCUGGGCGCAUCCCCCAACCCCCUUCCACACUCCACUUUUUUUGAUUGUUUGAUACAUUAAUAUAUUUUUUAUUUAUUUUAUUUUUGCUAAAAUAAGAAAAAGAGUUCAAACUGAAUUACAUUCCCCAGUUUUAUAUUUGUGGUGUUUUUUUCCCAAUAAUAGUCAAGAUGAUGAGAAAUUUUUCAAUGUGACCGGAGCACGGGGUGGUACACCACGUGUCUCUAUACAAGUUGUGAGAUUCUUGUGUUAAAAAAUUAAGUACACAAAAAAUAAAAAUUUUCACUACUUACAUAAUAACACGUGGUGUGCCACUUGUGUUAUGGGCACAAGGUAAAGUUUCUCCAAGAUGACACUCAAGCUCAAAAAAUUGGAUGGAGAGUUACAUUUAUUUUUGUAGGUAUGUAAAAAAAUGUGAGGAAAUUUUAAUUUAGUAAUUGAAAACAACUUUUUAAAUAUAAUUUUCGAGAACAUAAUCUUCUCAAGGAUUUGAUCUAAUGGAUCAUUUAUGGGUUUAUCGUUUUGGGCGCAAUGAGUGCUUUUACAGGACCAAAAAGAGUAAGUUUCAAACCUUAUGAAACUGAACCAAGAAGUAAACACUAUUUAUAAAAGUUGACCAAUAAGCAGACACUAUUUAUGAAACUAAAUCAAUAAGCAGACACUAUUUAUGAAAUUGAACCAAUAAGUAUACACUAUUUAUGAACGAAAACAAGAAUUAGACAUUAUUUCUAAAACUAAACCAAUAGAUGAAAAUUAUUUAUGAAACUGGACUAUACAAUAUUUACGAAACUGGACUAAGAAUUAGACAAUAUUUAUGAAACAAGAUCAACUAGGCAUUAUUUAUGAAAGUUGGCAAAUAACUAGGCACUAUUUAUGAAACUGGACCAAGAAAGAGACUAUUUAUGAAAUUAUACUAAUUACUAUACAUUAUUUAUAAAACUGGACCCAAUAACUAGGCUUUAUUUAUCAAACAUGAUCAGGAACUAGACACUAUUUAUGAAACAUAAUCAAGAUUUGGACACUAUUUAUGAAAUUGGACUAAUAAAUAUUGUAAUACCGUUCAGAUACUGCAAUUUAAUACAGUGUUUGGUUUCAUGCAUGCACGGGUCUUGUGUGUUAGGUAUUUUUUAUUUUUAAUUUAUAUAUAUAUAUAUAUAUAUAUUAAAAUUGUAUCAUUUUCAUUAAAAUUUAAGUUAUUUUGUCCUUUUGGAAAAUGUACCCAUGUUUUGGUACAAUAAAUUUUUUACUAUUAUUUAUGAAUGUAUAUACACAAUAUAUUGGAGAGUAUAAUUUAUCAUUUAAUAUUUUUAAUUCCACUAAUUAUGGGUUUUAUUUAAAAUCUCAUAAAUAUAAACAAUUAUAACUACAAAUUUCAAUUUUCAAUUUAAGCAUAUAAUAACUUACAUAUAAAUACAUUAUUUCAUUAAUGUCAGAGACCUAGAUCAAAAGCUGAAAACCAACAAGUUUAAUAUAAGAUCCAUUCUUAGUAUAACAUGUACCCAUUUCUUUUUAUAUAAGAUCCAUUCAAUUUUUUUCUAAUCUAUAUUUUAAACUUCUAUGGGUAUAUUCUAUUUUGUUGAUCUAAGAAUGUAUCCCUGUCAAGUUUAAUCAAAGAAAUUUAAUAAUGUUAUUAAGUCUUUUUUUUUUUUUUGUGGUUUUGGAAAAUGUACUCAUGUUUUGGUACAAUAAAUUUUUUUACUAUUAUUUAUGAAUGUAUAUACACAAUAUAUUGGAGAGUAUAAUUUAUUCUUUAAUAUUUUUAAUUCCACUAAUUAUGGGUUUUAUUUAAAAUCUCAUAAAUAUAAACAACUAUAACUACAAAUUUCAAUUUAAGAAUAUAAUAACUUACAUAUAAAUACAUUAUUUCAUUAAUGUCAGAGACUUAGAUCAAAAGCUGAAAACCAACAAGAUUUCAGUUAAAGAACAAUGAUAGUUAGGGACCGCAUCCAAACUCUCCCCUUAGAAAAUUAUUAUUCUAAGCAAUGCACAUCUAAAACUAUGAUAUCUCAUCUUAUCAAUCUUAGAUUUAAAUAGUGACUAGAGAUUACAAAGAGAGAUGAAAACAAGUUUAAUAACAAUUAACGAUUUUGUUAUUGCAUGAUUCAGUGAGUUUCUUACUAAAUAACAUCGUAGAGGAGAAAUGAUCACUUGUAGGAAAAUGAUUCAAUGAGUUUGUUACUAGAUAACAUUUGAUUCAUUUUUUAUUUGCUCAAUAAAACGAUUAAAAAGAAAUUAGAGUGUGUAUAAGUAACAAAUUAAUGAGAGUUUGUAAACUGUAAAAAGAAAUGAGAGUAUGUAAUGGGAUCGUUAGCAACAUAAUCAAGAAUAAUCAUAUGUUUAUCUCAUUGAAUCAGCAUUUUCUAUUUGUCAAAGAAUAAGACAAACAUAAUGAUGUCUAAAUUCUGAAGUUGGAAUACAACUAUGAUUCAUUGAGUUUCUAUUUGUCAGAAAAUGUAAGUUGAUGUCUAACUUCAGAGUUGUACGGCUGUAGAGUAUGCUAUUUAUUUCAUCUUAUACUCCAUAUUUGUGCUUAGAGAUAAAGCAAAAGGAUGUAUUAGAAACUUCAUCAAGCAGCCCUUUUGUUUUAAUGGUUUUCCGGUUGAUGUUUUGUUUAAUGGUUGCUCUUUUGCGACUAAAUUGGUGGUUUCAUAUAUUAAGUUCAAUUGUUAAAAAGUAGAAUUUUUCUUCGGUUUGGACGGUAUUUUUUCAUAUAUUUAAUUACUUACAUAACUUGAUCGUCUUUGUUUCAACUCUGUUUGCGUUAUGAAUAGCAGCUCUUUCCAAUUUAACAUGGAUUUAUUUUUACAGUGUAAUUAUCUACAGAAAAUUUCUCUAAAGAUGCUGACAAUGGAGGGACACUGAUUCUGAACACAGUGGGCAAGUCUUUACAAGCUAAUUCCGUAGGUAAUAGAAACUACGCCUUUUCUCUCUGCUUGCAUGCUUUUUAACAUAGAGAGAAAUUGAAAUUGUACUUUAGAAUUAGCGUUCUUUUUGAUGAUCUACUGCCUGGUAAGGGUUCUUGAAAUUGUAUUUUAGAAUUAGUAUUUUUCUUGAUUCAAAACAAAAGGUCUAUAAUUUCCUUCCUACAUUCCAUGUAUGUACAUAGUAUUGCGUGUCGUAAAUAUAUUUACAAAUUUUACAUGUUUUAUACGGUUUUGAAACCCUCAACAUAAGGGACCUAUGUUUCAUUUGUAUUUAUUUUUAGAACACUUCCAGCCCAGCCAAGUCCCCUGAGCGAUGAGCUUUGGAAUCCCCCUACCAAGAAAAAAAAAAAAACGGCAGCUCCAGCCCAUUCCAAUAACCUGGGCUCCCCUGGAUCCCCCACUUUUCCCCCAGGUCCGAAUUGACUGGCCCACUUUGAUGUUAGCCCUGAUUAGAAAAAUACAAAAAAUACAAAAAGUUAUAAAUUUUUUCUAUAAAUAGCUAGCCAUAUUUUUCCACUUUACAUCACAUUUCAAUAUUUUCAAAUACUUUUUAACCAAUCUUUUAUUGUCAUUUGAAAUUAAAAAUAAAAUUAUUUAUUAUUUUAUUAAAAAAAUAUUUGGUGGAGAUGCAUUUGGACAAUUACUGUUCACUAAAGGCCGUUACUAACUUACUAUUCACUUUGACCGAUUGGGCUGCCGACGAGAAAUGACUCCAAACGCAUCUACUUUUGUGUUGAAUUAGUUUAUUUGUUUAAACUACAUAAAGUCAAUUCAAUAACUCUUGGUUUGAAUUAGUUUAUUUGUAGCGAAAACUAACCAUGGUUUUCGUUACAUUGAUAUUGCUAGCUAAUUUGUGAUUAUCUUCUCCCAGCAAAACUCAAUUCCAUUUGCAAAGAAGAGAUCGAUCAUGGCGUUGGAGGUGGUAGGUGGAGCCGCUCUCUCAGGUUUCUUCCAGCAAGUAUUGUGAAGUUGGAUUCUCAGGAGGUCAAGAACUUCAUUAGAGGAAAGAAAUUGACUGAUGGGUUGCUGGAGAAGUUGAGCAUCGAGUUGAUGUCUGUCGAUGCUGUUUAUUAUGAUGCCGAGCAAAAGCAAUUACGUGACCCAAGGGUGAAGCAGUGGCUGCAUAAGCUUAAAGAGGCAGUCUUACGUGCUGAGGACCUACUGGACGAGAUCAAGACAGAAGCGUUAAGGCGGAAAAUUGAAGCAGAAUUUGGAAGUUGCACAAGCAAGGUACAAGACCUCAUAUCUGCUUCUUUCCAUGCUUUUGAUGAGUCUGUAGACACCAAGAUAGAGGAAAUUCUUGAGAGGCUAAGCUCCAUUUCAAAACAAAAGGAUGUUUUCGGUUUGAAAGAACGUUGUAGUCACAGAAGCUCACAAACAUUGCCUUCAACUUCUUUAGUAGAAGGCUCUGAAGUGUAUGGAAGAAAUCAUGACACGGAAAUCAUCAUUCAAUUGUUGCUAUCAGAUGAUGUUACUUGUAAUACGAUUGGCGUCAUUCCCAUCGUGGGCAUGGGUGGGAUCGGAAAGACCACCCUUGCUCAGCUCUUAUACAAUGAUGAGAGAGUGAAGCAGCGUUUUGAGCCCCGAGCAUGGGUAUGUGUUUCUGAUGAAUUUGACAUUGUUAAGAUCACACAAACAAUUUAUGCAUCAGUCACUUCACAAACCUGUGAUUCCACAGACCUAAACCAACUUCAAGUCAAACUCAAGGAUGCUUUGGCGGGGAAGAAGUUUCUUUUUUGUUUCUUGAUGAUGUUUGGAACGAGAAUUACAAUAUUUGGGAUUCCUUAAGGCGCCCCUUCGAGUCUGGAGCUUAUGGAAGUAAGAUCAUUGUCACCGCAAGGAAUGAUGGCGUUGCAUCUACGAUGGGUACUCUUCAAACCCACUAUUUAAAGCACUUACUUGAGGAAGACUGUUGGUUUCUGUUUUCCAAGCAUGCCUUCAAAGAUGCAAGUGUAGAUCCAAAUCUUGAGGAAAUUGGAAGACAAAUUGUUAGCAAGUGUAAAGGCCUUCCUUUAGCUGCAAAAUCUCUCGGUGGUCUCUUACGCUCUGAAUCAAAUGUGGAGGAAUGGGAAAAUGUGCUAAAAAGUGACAUAUGGGAGUUCUCAGAUGCAAAGAUUGACAUUUUGCCGGCUCUAUGGCUAAGCUACCAGUACUUGUCUCCGGAGCUGAGGCGUUGUUUUGCUUAUUGUUCCAUAUUUCCCAAAGAUUAUAAAUUUAACAAGUCUAAAUUAAUUUUGCUGUGGAUGGCCGAAGAUCUUUUACAACCCCAAAAGAAGACUAUGUUGGAAGAUGUUGGAAAGAAAUACUUUGAUGAUCUAAUCUCACGGUCAUUUUUUCAAUACUCGUCUUCAAAUGAUUGUUUCAUCAUGCAUGAUCUGAUGCAUGAUUUGGCGACAUACGUGUGUGGGGAAUUUUGCAUUAGAUUGGAAGACCACGACUUCUCAUUGGACGUUGUGAGCAAGGGUCGUCAUUUUUCUUAUUUGCAAUAUUCAUCUAAUGUUGAUUAUAAGAGAUUUGGCACUAUUUAUGAAGCUAAGUAUCUGCGCACCUUCAUUCUUGGCGUUCUCUAUUCGCCGACAGUACAACUUGAUCUCAUUUUAAUGCUACAGUGUUUAAGAGUUCUCAAACUACGUGUGCAUGAUAUCACGAAGUUGCCUGAUUUGAUUAGCAACUUGAAGCAUCUACGGUACCUCGACUUGUGUAACACUCCAAUCCAGAAAUUACCGGACACGGUAUGCAGUUUGUGUAAUUUACAAACGUUGUUGUUGUCAAAUUGUACAUGUCUAGCUGAGUUGCCCACCGAUUUGAGAAGACUUAUCAACUUGCGCCAUCUUGAUUUGAGAGGUACGAAAAUAAAAAAGAUGCCCCCCCCACAUGGGCAAGUUGAAAGAUCUCCAAACAUUUGGAGGUGAGUUUGUCUUGAGCAAAGAUGCUGGGGGAUACAUUGAUGAGUUAAAGGGGUUUCAGCAUUUGAGUGGAAAUCUUCAUAUUUCAGGGCUUCAAAAUAUCAAACAUGCUGAGGAUGCUUUGGAGGCCAAACUGAGGGACAAGAAGCUCAGUGAAAUACGUUUGGAAUGGGAAGGUGACACUGCUGAUUCUCAAAACGAUAGCCGAGUGCUAGGCAACCUGCAGCCCAAUACAAACCUAAAGGUGCUGGCUAUAAAGGGAUACGGAGGUAUAAAGUUUCCAGGUUGGUUAGGAGAUGAGUCUUUCUCUAAUCUCAUCACUCUCCGACUUGAGAAUUGUGGAUAUUGUUUCUCCCUGCCAACAUUGGGGCGGCUAACGUCCCUCAAAAGGCUUGAAAUUGAUGGGUUGAAUGGAGUGGAAUUAGUGGGGUCUGAGUUUUAUGGGCCUGCAUUUAAAACUCUGGAGUUUCUGAGUUUCCGCAGUAUGCGGGAAUGGCAAGAGUGGUGUUUCC
rnacentral:lncRNA from 1 species